rnacentral:rRNA from 1 species
GAUGAACGCUGGCGGCGUGCCUAAUACAUGCAAGUCGAACGCACUGAUUUAUCGGUGAGUGGCGAACGGGUGAGUAAUACAUAAGUAACCUGCCCUCAUGAGGGGGAUAACUAUUAGAAAUGAUAGCUAAGACCGCAUAGGUGAAGGGGUCGCAUGACCGCUUCAUUAAAUAUCCGCAAGGAUAGCAGGAGGAUGGACUUAUGGCGCAUUAGCUGGUUGGUGAGGUAACGGCUCACCAAGGCGACGAUGCGUAGCCGACCUGAGAGGGUGGACGGCCACACUGGGACUGAGACACGGCCCAGACUCCUACGGGAGGCAGCAGUAGGGAAUUUUCGGCAAUGGGGGAAACCCUGACCGAGCAACGCCGCGUGAGGGAAGAAGUAUUUCGGUAUGUAAACCUCUGUUAUAAAGGAAGAACGGUAUGAAUAGGAAAUGAUUCAUAAGUGACGGUACUUUAUGAGAAAGCCACGGCUAACUACGUGCCAGCAGCCGCGGUAAUACGUAG